UUUGUAGAACAGACAGUGUCAAGGCUCGGGCUCCAAGCUGAACUCUAGCACUGAAGAGGUUUGGAUGGCGUCACGAAGAGGAAGAAGAGAGGAGAGUCUACAGAAGUCAAUCUCUCCAAAGGGUGUAAAGAAGAAAACAUCUAUGCCUGUCCCCAUGGGGAUAAUGACUUCAAGAGUAAUCUAUACUUAUCUAGGGUUUUGCCUUCUGCAAAGCACCUUCAUGCACGUUAUCAGCUCUUCUCAUGUUAACCCCAUGAGCUACACAGAGCACACAUACUGUUCUCAUUCUCUAAAUGAAAGAGCUCUGAUCCACUGGGUUAGAGAGACCCGCUUACGUGGAUAUUGCCAUCAGUGCCCAAACCAGAACGCAGCUGCCUGCUCCCAGUCUGGGAUUUCCUGCCUCACACCAGUGUCUCUACAAAAGGAGAGCCCAGGUGUGAAGGCAACUUGAGGAUAAAAUACGACUGCAGGAAGAGGGAUUAUUACUACAAAAUUCAGAUCCUCUCCCCUUCUAGUACAGGCAUGCAACGUCCUGAAGAUUCGCAUCCUGGUCAUCUCAGGUACGGAAGUACCCUAGAGCUGGCAGGGACAGCAGAGAUGGAGCCAAAUCUCUCGUUUCACCAUAAGGAGCUGAACGUCCUCCUUUCCUGCCCAAGUCUACAGAGCUCGUUAUGACCGAGCCAAGACUAGACACCAGCCUACCAUCUUAUACUCAUAGGAAAGUUGUGUCGCCCCUCCCCGACAAGAGGAAACUGAAAAUGUACAGCAAAUAGC
rnacentral:lncRNA from 10 species